rnacentral:SRP_RNA from 14 species
CACCGCGCGAAGCAGGCUCACAGCGCAGGGGCGUCCUCCUGCUCCGGCUGUGAGGGUGCAGCCUGCUGCCUCG